CCUAACCCUUCCUCCCUUCCUCCCGUUUUCUCUCUCCUUCGUUCAGUUUUCUCCUUCGAUCCACUCGAUCUUCUUCGAUCUCCGUCUCUCUUUCACCGCACACACACACACUCUCUCUAUCCCCCGCCUCUCGCCGUCGCCAUCACCAUCGCCGUCGCCAUCACCGUCGCCAUCACCAUCGCCGUCUGAUCUUCUGGAGAUUCGGCCUUACAGGUGGUGGAGGGCAGCGGCAGUGGAGGCGGAGGUGGAAGCGGCGGAGUAGCGUACAGAUUCAGAUGAGCAGCAGUGUAGAAAGAACGGGCUGUGGUUCAUUGUUUGUAGGAACAAAGCCGAGUCAAUGAUCAUAAAUGCUAAAAUGGCGGAGCCUUUGUUUUUCCUGUUCAUCGCAAGCUUUUAUGCUAAGAAUUAAGACUUCUAGGUCAGUUCAACUAAGCAGCCUGUGUGAUUUUGGCGAUACCCAAACGACAACGAAGAUGAUUGGGGAUCGGUUCGUCAAUUGAUUAAAUGUUGCUUUCUGCAUCACGAUUAAGAGGUGAUUGGGGAUCGUUCGUCAAUUGAUUAAAUGUUGCUUUCUGCAUCACGAUUCAAAGAAAUUUGAAGACUAGGAGAAUAUUUGAUGAAUUAAUGCCAAAUCGAGAUCUCGCCACCCCUGAUGAUAUUAUCGACUUUGGGCAACGAUUUCGGCACUAUUCUGGCAGUUUUGGGCGUGGGAUUGUGUGCGUGGUGUUUUAAUUGUGUGUGAGGGUUUGUGAUGUGAUUAUGUUUUGUUGCUCUAAUGUACGAAGUUGAUAUAAUUUUUAAUUUUACUCUUCAAACAUUUUCAUGUACUCUAAUAGAUUGUUAAAUUGAUGUGAUUCAGUACAUGAAUUGAUGUAGUUUCUGAUAUUGAAAUGUGAUUUAGGAUUUGAGAUUUA